CGGGCCUCGGCGGGGCGGACGCGGCUCUGCUUAAAAGAUGUGGCGUCGUGGUUUUUUUUCUCGCUAUCCAUCUUUCAACAGUUUGUUCUUGGGGCGAAAGUCCAAGAACGGCUUCAAUUAUUUAACAUCCGAUUCAAUUUGUACUUCAGAUUGAAGUACGAGGUGGAGUGAUGCAAGAAAUGCCAAUAGAGCUGCUGGAAAAAAGUUGAAGAGAGAAGGUGACCAGCCACAGGGUGAAAUCAACUUACCUUCGCUACCGGUAUGCAAAUGUG